UGGAAAAUACAAAGAGCUUCUGCAGCAGCCUCUGCAGGGCCAGUGUGAGUGAAGAGCCCGGGUGACGGGCCACUGAGGUGGAGUGGAGAGUUUUCCUACGUCUGCAUCCAGCAGUGGCAUCCGGAGCGGCCAUCCAUGUCUGUGGGCAGGAUGAAAGAGCUUCUGACAUAAAAAAUCAUCUCAGAUACGACUUCUACAGUUUGAUAUGCUUCCUUCCCACAUCACCACAUCCAACGCUGGAAGCUGCCUAUAAUUUUCACUGUGGCAAAGAUCAAGGAACUUAAGUCUGGAAUGGAACAUUCUACAUCAAGCCUUAGUCCCUGAGCCCACUGCAACCCCAAAGUGCUUCACAGAAUCCGGGACACUGCCUACCUCAGACUCAUUCUUCCUGUUUUCUCCCAGCCAGUGAAUGCCUCCGAUUUGAAGAGCAGAUGAGCAUGCCUUUCUCUCCUGAGUUAGAAGUACUUGAACCGUGGGAAAGAUGCUCUCACAGGGGUGGACGCCAUGGACUUCAUGAGGCUCCCAAGGGAGGUGGACUUCUUGGCCCACGAAGUUGGUAAAGGGCCCUAAUUCUUCAGCAACUAUCCACAAAGAGACUCUCCCUGAUGACUAGGCCCUGGAUGAAGCCUAGUUUAUAGAAAGUGGAGCAGUACCAAGGAAGGAGCUGGCCUCUCCUUGAUCCUGGACUCUGAGUAACUUGUUCCCUUGGGAAGACAGCCGAGUGUGGCCGGCAGAGACUGUGUCUAAGUUCUAAUUUGAAGGAAGCAGCAGAGAUCCAACUGCAGGUGUGAGCAUGCCCCUUCCUUCACGCACAGACCUUCUGCAACAGGCUGUGCUUCCUGAGAAAGGCCUAAUGAAAAGGAUCAAGCUCACACAGAGGCCCCGCUGUGCAGGAAGAUUGCUUCCAAAAAGCGAUUCAUUUUUAGUUUAACAACUGUGCAUUCGGUCCCCACACAAUUUAUCUUCAUGCAAAAAUCACAUACCUGUGUGCCAGAUGUGCACAGCUGUAUGUGAACAACUGCUGAUCUAUCUGGGUCACAUGCCAAGUGCCUGUUUCUUUAAAUUAGGGUGGGUUGGGAUUUGGGCCGUGUGAAAAUUUCAUUUGGAAACCAGAAACCGAGCAAGACCUGGCUACACAGGGGUUUGAGCAUAGCGUGCUGAUGAACCAAGUUAAAUUGGUCUUUUCUGGGACCCCCCAGGAUGGCCUGCUUUCCUGACCCCAGAAAUUCAGUGGCAUUCUGGGUCUGCAGAGGCUGGGUGCUGCCAAAGUGUGCGGCCCUUGUAAAUGCUUGUGGUGAAGCCGCAAAACCUCUGCCCAGCCCCUGGGAGCUCUUGUAGCAGGAUAGAACUAGACAUUUUUAGUUUGUGUUUCAGUGUUUUACCCUCUGGACUCAGAAGAAGCAAGACCACAAAACAGUCAAUGAGGCCUACCAGCCCAGCAGCCGGGGCACAGCCAUCCACAGAAGAGCAGGGGGCUGAGGUGAGAGAGCACUUCCCCCUGGAAGCCCGCACUUCUGUGUACACGGGGGAUCUACAGCACUAGCACACAGACAUUUCCCUUUGUCUUCCUGUCUGUCCUUUCAUGACCAAAGCUAAUCAAUAUUAAAAGAA